GUGGCUUGGAAGACAGACGACUCCUCUUUCCCAUGGUGUGCCCAUCUCUUCCCACCUUCCAAGAUGACUCAUUGCCUUGGUCCCUCCUGGCUCCUGGCUGAGAAGCUGGACUACAAUGAUGGUGUUGUCAUGGAACCUGACCUAGUGGGAUCCGGACGCAUGUCAAGGCACCCACUCCUGCUCCUCAGCUUCAGCUGGAGCUAUUUCCUGCCAACACUUACAGACACCCAUGUUGAAGCAGGAAAACCCCAAAGCCAAGGUCUGCCCAGCUGAUGCCAGCUACCACCUGCAGGGGACAGGGCCCACUGAUGACCAGCUGCCUGGGCUCCAUGUGUGAGCGGCCAGCGUCCCUGCCUGAGCAUGUAGACCAGGAAUAGAAUCUCAUUCUCCAGUAGCAAGGGUACACCUUGGCCCAGUGACCGAGAGCUCCCACUGCACCUUCACCUGGUUGUGCAAGUAGUAGCUCCUGGCACCUUGCCCCCAUAAUUGAUCUGUGUGUGAAGGUGGAUGAGUGAACACUAGACCAUGGCCCCUUCCAUCCCUGACCUCUGGACACCCCGUACCUUGGUCAGGUACUGGAGGUUACCAUCAGGAUCAAUCAUGGUUCCCCCAGGCUCCACAGGUAGCUGAUCAGGGCCAAUGAACUUUGGCAGCUUCAGCUUUCAGUUGCCUGUGGCAGAAAGAGGAGGGUUUUAUGGAGGUUCAGUGGGACUUGAUAGCAGGUAGGGGAGCAAGCCCCAGGCUGUCUGUGGCAUACUGUUCCCCUGUCCAGUGUGCUCCUGGUAUCUGCCAGGAUGGAAGGCGAGAGACUCUUCAUCUGGAUUGAAGCCUCGGGAUGCGUUCCUGUGUUGCAAAUUCCUGCUCCCAAGCCUGCCCCUCCAGAGCUGGUACCCAGCCCCAUCUGUCCAGGUGUUGGCCCAUGGGGCCAUCUUGGUGGGGACUUAGACCAGCACCUCCUGGAACCUGAGACUAAGGGUAGGUUGACUCUGACCUGGGCUUCCCUUUCCCGUGGCAGUUGAAGUCAGCCUCUGACCUCAGCUCCUGCAGCUCCAGCACCCUCAGAACUGGGGGCCAAGACUGUGUCAGCUCCACCGCCACCAAGGUGCUCUGAGAUAGUAAGGGUGGUCCACUGGCAAAGGAAUAAGGGCAUUGGGAGAACAAAGUGGAAGAAAGCGAGGUGAAUGCCCACAUACCCUAGGAUAGGUAUGGACUGCUUAAGCAUAAAAGUAACAGAGAAAUCAAUGGAGUCAAAAAUUAAAACUAACAAGCAAACUAAAAACUUAGGAAAGUGUUUGCCACAGAUAUGACAGGAAAGGCCAAUGUGCUUAAUAUGUAAAGAGUACUUAUAAAUCAAUAAUAAAAGUACUUUUCUAGAAAAUGAAUGAGAGAUACCAGGAGGCAAUACAAAUAAAAAAUUAAAGCAUUAAAAAAAUCAUAGCCUUGGCUGGUGUGGCACAGUGGAUUGAGUGCUGGCCUGUGAACCAAAGGGUUGCUGGUUUGAUUCCCAGUCAGGGCACAUGCCUGGGUUGCAAGCCAAGUCCCCAGUAGAAGGUGCACAAGAGGCAACCACACAUUGUUUCUCCCUCCU